rnacentral:rRNA from 1 species
AACCUGGGUUUUUACACUCUAACAAAUAUUGUUUUAACCGUUUACUCACUGAAGCUAAGCAGGGCUGAGCCUGGUCAGUACCUGGAUGGGAGACCAUAUGGGAAGGCUAGGUUGCUGUUGGAA